rnacentral:rRNA from 1 species
ACAUGCAAGUCGAGCGCUCUAACCACUUCGGUGGGGACGGGAGCGGCGGACGGGUUAGUAACGCGUGGGAACAUACCCUUUUCUACGGAAUAGCCUUUGGAAACGAAGAGUAAUACCGUAUACGCCCCUCGGGGGAAAGAUUUAUCGGUGAAGGAUUGGCCCGCGUUAGAUUAGAUAGUUGGUGGGGUAAUGGCCUACCAAGUCUACGAUCUAUAGCUGGUUUGAGAGGAUGAUCAGCAACACUGGGACUGAGACACGGCCCAGACUCCUACGGGAGGCAGCAGUGGGGAAUCUUAGACAAUGGGCGCAAGCCUGAUCUAGCGAUGCCGCGUGAGUGAAGAAGGCCUUAGGGUCGUAAAGCUCUUUCGCCUGUGAUGAUAAUGACAGUAGCAGGUAAAGAAACCCCGGCUAACUCCGUGCCAGCAGCCGCGGUAAUACGGAGGGGGUUAGCGUUGUUCGGAAUUACUGGGCGUAAAGCGUACGUAGGCGGAUUAGUAAGUUAGGGGUGAAAUCCCAGGGCUCAACCCUGGAACUGCCUCUAAAACUGCUAGUCUAGAGAUCGUGAGAGGUGAGUGGAAUUCCGAGUGUAGAGGUGAAAUUCGUAGAUAUUCGGAGGAACAUCAGUGGCGAAGGCGGCUCACUGGCACGAUACUGACGCUGAGGUACGAAAGUGUGGGGAGCAAACAGGAUUAGAUACCCUGGUAGUCCACACCGUAAACGAUGAAUGCCAGACGUCGGGUAGCAUGCUAUUCGGUGUCACACCUAACGGAUUAAGCAUUCCGCCUGGGGAGUACGG